rnacentral:rRNA from 1 species
UACGAAGGGGGCUAGCGUUGCUCGGAAUCACUGGGCGUAAAGCGCACGUAGACGGAUCUUUAAGUCAGGGGUGAAAUCCUGGAGCUCAACUCCAGAACUGCCUUUGAUACUGGGGAUCUCGAGUCCGGAAGAGGUGAGUGGAACUCCGAGUGUAGAGGUGAAAUUCGUAGAUAUUCGGAAGAACACCAGUGGCGAAGGCGGCUCACUGGUCCGGUACUGACGCUGAGGUGCGAAAGCGUGGGGAGCAAACAGG